ACGCUAGGUAGUGCAAUGGUUAGCAUAACGCUCCAGGAAAGGGUGAGAUCUGGGUUCGAAUCCCGGCUAAGGCA